GAUGAACGCUGGCGGCGUGCCUAAUACAUGCAAGUCGAGCGAACAGACGAGGAGCUUGCUCCUCUGACGUUAGCGGCGGACGGGUGAGUAACACGUGGAUAACCUACCUAUAAGACUGGGAUAACUUCGGGAAACCGGAGCUAAUACCGGAUAAUAUAUUGAACCGCAUGGUUCAAUAGUGAAAGACGGUUUUGCUGUCACUUAUAGAUGGAUCCGCGCCGCAUUAGCUAGUUGGUAAGGUAACGGCUUACCAAGGCAACGAUGCGUAGCCGACCUGAGAGGGUGAUCGGCCACCCGGGAACUGAGACACGGUCCAGACUCCUACGGGAGGCAGCAGUAGGGAAUCUUCCGCCAUGGGCGAAAGCCUGACGGAGCAACGCCGCGUGAGUGAUGAAGGUCUUCGGAUCGUAAAACUCUGUUAUUAGGGAAGAACAAAUGUGUAAGUAACUAUGCACGUCUUGACGGUACCUAAUCAGAAAGCCACGGCUAACUACGUG
rnacentral:rRNA from 1 species